rnacentral:rRNA from 1 species
UACGGAGGAUGCGAGCGCUAUCCGGAUUUAUUGGGUUUAAAGGGUGCGUAGGCGGAUCGUUAAGUCAGUGGUCAAAUUGAGGGGCUCAACCCCUUCCCGCCAUUGAAACUGGCGAUCUUGAGUGGAAGAGAAGUAUGCGGAAUGCGUGGUGUAGCGGUGAAAUGCAUAGAUAUCACGCAGAACCCCGAUUGCGAAGGCAGCAUGCCGGCUUCCGACUGACGCUGAAGCACGAAAGCGUGGGGAUCGAACAGG